rnacentral:rRNA from 1 species
UGCAAGUCGAGCGAGAAAGCCCUUCGGGGUGAGUAGAGCGGCGGACGGGUGAGUAACGCGUGGGAAUCUACCAAGUAGUGGGGGACAACAGUUGGAAACGACUGCUAAUACCGCAUACGCCCUACGGGGGAGAGCGGGGGAUCUUCGGACCUCGUGCUAUUUGAUGAGCUCGCGUAAGAUUAGCUAGAUGGUGGGGUAAUGGCCUACCAUGGCGACGAUCUUUAGCUGGUCUGAGAGGAUGAUCAGUCACACUGGAACUGAGACACGGUCCAGACUCCUACGGGAGGCAGCAGUGGGGAAUAUUGCACAAUGGGCGCAAGCCUGAUGCAGCCAUGCCGCGUGUGUGAAGAAGGCCUUCGGGUUGUAAAGCACUUUCAGCGAGGAGGAAAGGGUGUAGUUUAAUACGCCGCAUCUGUGACGUUACUCGCAGAAGAAGGACCGGCUAACUCCGUGCCAGCAGCCGCGGUAAUACGGAGGGUCCGAGCGUUAAUCGGAAUUACUGGGCGUAAAGCGCGCGUAGGCGGUUAUCUAAGCUAGAUGUGAAAGCCCAGGGCUCAACCUUGGAACUGCAUUUAGAACUGGGUAACUAGAAUACCGCAGAGGAUAGUGGAAUUUCAGGUGUAGCGGUGAAAUGCGUAGAGAUCUGAAGGAACAUCAGUGGCGAANGCGACUGUCUGGGCUGAUAUUGACGCUGANGUGCGAAAGCGUGGGGAGCAAACAGGAUUAGAUACCCUGGUAGUCCACGCCGUAAACGAUGUCUACUAGCCGUUGGGGUCCUUGAGGCCUUAGUGGCNCANCUAACGCACUAAGUANACCGCCUGGGGAGUANGGUCGCAAGA